GUCGCUUUGCCGGAGUGGUUAACGGGAUCGCCUGCUAACAGCACUACAUGAUGUUGUGCUCAGCUAAGCGGUUGCUCUUGUAGCGCGAGUGUUCGAAUCGCUCAGGCGACG
rnacentral:tRNA from 1 species